UGCAUCCCCUACACCCAAACCUUUCAAACUUGAGAUCUUGAACAAAAACUACACAUUGCAAUUCUGGAAUUCCAAGGGACUAAAAAUAGAAAAAAAGAUCCCCGACCAUUAUAUAAGACUAGAUCCAGUACUCCUUUUUUCCUCGAACCAAAAAGCGCCAUUUUUGUGGAAGCUCGUCCAAACAAAGGCCAGCACUUUCUCCCCCAAGAUCCAAAACCAUGGCCGCGCUCGCUCCCGCCAAGCUCGCCAUCUCCCCAGGCGUCAAGCUCUCGGAAUCCAUCCCCACUUCCAUGCUCUCCAUCUCCCUCCGCGGCUUUAGAUACCGUUGUUCCUUCCUUGGCUCCGCCGUCCGCCUCCCUGCGAUCUCUCCGAUCGCACGAAUCACUGAGUCUCAGCACCCACAUAUCUCCGCUGCCUCUGCUUCUGUAAUGUUUGUAAAAUUUCUUUUUUUCCUACUUUGACUGGUUUGACUGAGUGUUUGGUGAGUGGGCCCUACUGUUUGUUUCAUUGCCCUUAUUUUCCGGAUCUUGACUGAAGUGGAAUUAUUGGUUUGCCUGUUGUUGAUUAGUGGAGACUUAUAAUUGAGUUUACGGGUUGCUUUUAAAGGCUUAGCUGUGCAACCAAUCACCAUGCUCUCCAAACUCUCUUAUCCUUGAAACAACUCAACCUUGGCCGAAUUUUUGUGUCAAUUUUUUUUCUCUUUAAGCUUGGUUUUUGAAUGGAACUUGUCACCAACAAGCUUAGAGAUCCAUACCGAGCUGUAGUUCGCGGGACUUGGUGAACCCAACUCUGUAGCUCGGAGCCAGGAGAAGAUCAAGUCUAGGAUCAGGGGUUGUCUGGGGGUCGUAUUGUCUGCUUUUAUCAAUAUCUCUAUAUUACCUUCUUGAGAGUGUAAGACUUGUAUUCUGACUGUAUUUGUAAUUUGCGAACUGUUGGGUUGUAUUUGUAUUCUAUAGGGCUGUUAAAGUCCGUACUUGUAGUAUUUCAGUUUCCAGUA